rnacentral:rRNA from 1 species
GAUGAACGCUGGCGGCGUGCCUAAUACAUGCAAGUCGAGCGAACAGACGAGGAGCUUGCUCCUCUGACGUUAGCGGCGGACGGGUGAGUAACACGUGGAUAACCUACCUAUAAGACUGGGAUAACUUCGGGAAACCGGAGCUAAUACCGGAUAACAUGUUGAACCGCAUGGUUCAACAGUGAAAGACGGUCUUGCUGUCACUUAUAGAUGGAUCCGCGCCGCAUUAGCUAGUUGGUAAGGUAACGGCUUACCAAGGCAACGAUGCGUAGCCGACCUGAGAGGGUGAUCGGCCACACUGGAACUGAGACACGGUCCAGACUCCUACGGGAGGCAGCAGUAGGAAAUCUUCCGCAAUGGGCGAAAGCCUGACGGAGCAACGCCGCGUGAGUGAAGAGGGUCUUCGGAUCGUAAAACUCUGUUAUUAGGGAAGAACAAAUGUGUAAGUAACUAUGCACGUCUUGACGGUACCUAAUCAGAAAGCCACGGCUAACUACGUG